UAACUUAUCUAGAGUUACUACUGCACAUGUAAAUUGUUUGCUUCAUUUGACCUAUAUGCUCAUCAAACUGCUUGCUGCAUUUGGCUUGUGAUUCCUCUUAAAGCCAUGUGCAUAAGAUUUAUUCCUCAUUUAACUUUUAAGCGACAUAAAUUUCAUUAAAUUGCUAAUUCACAUUUGCAAAAUUGAGGUUUUAAUUUUAAGUCUACAACUAUUUAUGAUCUAACUGGUGGACCUGGCCAGUCACUGGUUCUUAUCCAUGGCUAAUUUUGGUUGGAACUGUGUUAAAUUUAUUACAAUAUAUAUCAUAUAUACGACUAGCUUGUUCUAUUAAACAUGAAAGCUUUCAUUAAAUCAAUAUAUUUGUAUAUUUAAUAAUUCACCUGGUGUCAUCUUUACACAAUCUCUAAUAAGCAGAUCUCACAAAGAAAAGCGAUCCUCAUAUGCCCCCGAGAAUGGCGUGCGGUAUGAUGGAAUUUAUAGAAUUGAAAAGUGCUGGCAGAUAGCUGGAUUGCAGGGUUUCAAAGUUUGCCGGUAUCUAUUUGUUAGAUGUGACAAUGAACCCGCCCCGUGGACAAGCGAUGAUCAUGGAGAUAGGCCCAGACCCUUGCCCGUAAUUCGUGAACUGAAAAAGGCUACAGUCAUAUUUGAAAGGACCGAGACUCCAUCUUGGGAUUUUGAUGUGAGUGAUUAUUUAGGAGUUCUUCUUCCUUUUUCGA